rnacentral:rRNA from 1 species
AAAUUGAAGAGUUUGAUCAUGGCUCAGAUUGAACGCUGGCGGCAGGCCUAACACAUGCAAGUCGAGCGGUAGCACAGAGAGCUUGCUCUCGGGUGACGAGCGGCGGACGGGUGAGUAAUGUCUGGGAAACUGCCUGAUGGAGGGGAUAACUACUGGAAACGGUAGCUAAUACCGCAUAACGUCGCAAGACCAAAGUGGGGGACCUUCGGGCCUCAUGCCAUCAGAUGUGCCCAGAUGGGAUUAGCUAGUAGGUGGGGUAACGGCUCACCUAGGCGACGAUCCCUAGCUGGUCUGAGAGGAUGACCAGCCACACUGGAACUGAGACACGGUCCAGACUCCUACGGGAGGCAGCAGUGGGGAAUAUUGCACAAUGGGCGCAAGCCUGAUGCAGCCAUGCCGCGUGUGUGAAGAAGGCCUUCGGGUUGUAAAGCACUUUCAGCGGGGAGGAAGGCGGUGAGGUUAAUAACCUCAUCGAUUGACGUUACCCGCAGAAGAAGCACCGGCUAACUCCGUGCCAGCAGCCGCGGUAAUACGGAGGGUGCAAGCGUUAAUCGGAAUUACUGGGCGUAAAGCGCACGCAGGCGGUCUGUCAAGUCGGAUGUGAAAUCCCCGGGCUCAACCUGGGAACUGCAUUCGAAACUGGCAGGCUAGAGUCUUGUAGAGGGGGUAGAAUUCCAGGUGUAGCGGUGAAAUGCGUAGAGAUCUGGAGGAAUACCGGUGGCGAAGGCGGCCCCUGGACAAAGACUGACGCUCAGGUGCGAAAGCGUGGGGAGCAAACAGGAUUAGAUACCCUGGUAGUCCACGCCGUAAACGAUGUCGAUUUGGAGGUUGUGCCCUUGAGGCGUGGCUUCCGGAGCUAACGCGUUAAAUCGACCGCCUGGGGAGUACGGCCGCAAGGUUAAAACUCAAAUGAAUUGACGGGGGCCCGCACAAGCGGUGGAGCAUGUGGUUUAAUUCGAUGCAACGCGAAGAACCUUACCUGGUCUUGACAUCCACAGAACUUUCCAGAGAUGGAUUGGUGCCUUCGGGAACUGUGAGACAGGUGCUGCAUGGCUGUCGUCAGCUCGUGUUGUGAAAUGUUGGGUUAAGUCCCGCAACGAGCGCAACCCUUAUCCUUUGUUGCCAGCGGUUCGGCCGGGAACUCAAAGGAGACUGCCAGUGAUAAACUGGAGGAAGGUGGGGAUGACGUCAAGUCAUCAUGGCCCUUACGACCAGGGCUACACACGUGCUACAAUGGCAUAUACAAAGAGAAGCGACCUCGCGAGAGCAAGCGGACCUCAUAAAGUAUGUCGUAGUCCGGAUUGGAGUCUGCAACUCGACUCCAUGAAGUCGGAAUCGCUAGUAAUCGUAGAUCAGAAUGCUACGGUGAAUACGUUCCCGGGCCUUGUACACACCGCCCGUCACACCAUGGGAGUGGGUUGCAAAAGAAGUAGGUAGCUUAACCUUCGGGAGGGCGCUUACCACUUUGUGAUUCAUGACUGGGGUGAAGUCGUAACAAGGUAACCGUAGGGGAACCUGCGGUUGGAUCACCUCCUUA